rnacentral:lncRNA from 1 species
AAGGUCCCGCUCCAAGCUGAGGACCAAGGCUCCAGUAACCUUUGAGGACAAAUCACAUCCAAACCAUAGCAGGUGUUUUAAAUUUUAUUUUUAAAAAUUCAAACAAAAUUUCUGCAGACAAGACACACAAAUUCUCUUUAUAUUACAUAAAAGUACAAAGAAAAGUUCAGAGAGGUACAGAGUAACAAUUUUUAUUCUUUAACAGGAGGUUAGAUUGUGGGAGAAAGGCAACUUUAACUUUCCACCUUGUAUGCACAGCCAAAAGGGCCUCGCCAGAGCUAAGCUAAGCCAGUGGCAGGGCCACAUCCUUGAACCUUGUGUUAGUCACUUCUUUGUCACUAUGACAAAAUAACUGAGAAAUACAACCUAAGGGAAGAAAGAUUCAUCUGGGUUCAUGGUGUUGGAGGUUUUAGUUUAUGCUUGGCUGGCUCCAUUCCCUGGGCCUGGAGUAAGGCACAGCAUCAUCCUGGACAGGCCCAGCCAAACAAAGCUGCCCACCACAAGGCUGAGAAGCAGAGAAAGCCGGGAAUGAAGGGCCUGGGGCAAGAUACACCACUCCAGGUCACAUCCCCAGUGACCUUCCUCCAACCAUGCUCUGCCGCCUGCAGUUCCUACCACCUCCCAAUAGCCCAUUAAAUUAUGAUCUGACACUGGACUAGUCCCUUGAAUGAGAUCAGAGCCCUCAUGAGCCAGUUACAUCCCAAAAGUAGCACAUGUGAACAAUGCUACAUUGGGGUCCAAGCCUUUAGCACAUGAACCCUUGAGACACACUCCAGGUCCAAAAUCUAGCAAACUUUCAAAACUGUGAGCUAAAUAAGCCUCUUUUCUUUAUAAAAGUUACCCAUCCUCAGGCAUUUCAUUGUGAUAAAAGAAAACAGACUAAUAGGCUGGGGAUGUGGCUCAG